UUGAGUCAGGGUGGGGGAGGGCGUGGGAAUAAGGGGGGGGGAAGAGUGACCGGGGUUGAGUGGGGGGAAAGGUGUGGUAGGCGGGUGGGCGCGUGCGGUGUGAAAGUCCGUGGCGUAACGGUGGGUCGGGGCGGGGUACGGGCGGGGUUGAGUGCGGUAGGGGAGACUGGAAUUCCCGGUGUAACGGUGGAAUGUGUAGAUAUCGGGAAGAACACCAAUGGCGAAGGCAGGUCUCUGGGCCGUCACUGACGCUGAGGAGCGAAAGCGUGGGGAGCGAACAGGAUUAGAUACCCUGGUAGUC
rnacentral:rRNA from 1 species